AGCGAACGCUGGCGGCAUGCUUAACACAUGCAAGUCGCACGGGUCAGGUUUCGGCCUGGCAGUGGCGGACGGGUGAGUAUCGCGUAGGGAUUUAUCGUUGGGUGGGGAUAACCUUGGGAAACUGGGGCUAAUACCGCAUGACGCCUGUGGGCCAAAGUUGUAAUGGCGCCUGACGAGAAGCCUGCGUCCGAUUAGCUAGUUGGUGGGUAAAGCCUACCAAGGCUGCGACGGUAGCUGGUCUGAGAGGAUGAUCAGCCACACUGGGACUGAGACACGGCCCAGACUCCCACGGGAGGCAGCAGUGGGGAAUAUUGGACAAUGGGCGCAAGCCUGAUCCAGCAAUGCCGCGUGGAUGAAGAAGGUUUUCGGAUUGUAAAGUCCUUUCGGCGGGGACGAUGAUGACAGUACCCGCAGAAGAA
rnacentral:rRNA from 1 species